AGGCUGAUGAUGCCCAAGAGUCCAUAUCGACGGCAUUGUUUGGCACCUCGAUGUCGGCUCAUCGCAUCCUGGGGCUGAAGGCGGUCCCAAGGGUUAGGCUGUUCGCCUAUUAAAGCGGUACGCGAGCUGGGUUCAGACCGUCGUGAGACAGGUUGGUCGUAAUCCGCUGCAGGCGUCGAUUUUUGAGAAGAUUUGUUCCUAGUACGAGAGGACCGGAAUGA
rnacentral:rRNA from 1 species